GGCCCCGUGGUGAAGUCACGUCAGAUUGCAAAUCUGGAGACGCGGAGGAAAUUUCCGCCGGGGCUU
rnacentral:tRNA from 1 species